AACGAACGCUGGCGGCAGGCCUAACACAUGCAAGUCGAACGCUCCGCAAGGGGAGUGGCGCACGGGUGAGUAACACGUGGGAACCUACCUUCUGGUACGGAACAACCAAGGGAAACUUUGGCUAAGACCGUAUACGACCUCCGGGUGAAAGAUUGAUCGCCGGAAGAGGGGCCCGCGUCCGAUUAGGUAGUUGGUGAGGUAACGGCUCACCAAGCCUUCGAUCGGUAGCUGGUCUGAGAGGAUGACCAGCCACACUGGGACUGAGACACGGCCCAGACUCCUACGGGAGGCAGCAGGUGGGGAAUAUUGGACAAUGGGCGCAAGCCUGAUCCAGCCAUGCCGCGUGAGUGAUGAAGGCC
rnacentral:rRNA from 1 species